rnacentral:rRNA from 1 species
UACGAAGGUGGCAAGCGUUGUUCGGAUUUACUGGGCGUACAGGGAGCGUAGGCGGUUCGGUAAGCCCUCUGUGAAAUCUCCAGGCUUAACCUGGAACAGUCGGAGGGGACUGCCGGGCUAGAGGGACGGGAGAGGAGCGCGGAAUUCCCGGUGUAGCGGUGAAAUGCGUAGAGAUCGGGAGGAAGGCCGGUGGCGAAGGCGGCGCUCUGGGAACGUUUUCUGACGCUGAGGCUCGAAAGCGUGGGGGAGCAAACAGG